rnacentral:rRNA from 1 species
AUCUUCCACAAUGGACGAAAGUCUGAUGGAGCAACGUCGCGUGAGUGAAGAAGGUUCUCGUAUAGUAAAGCUCUGUUGUAAGGGAAGAACAAGUACAGGAGUAACUGUCUGUACAUAGACGGUACCUUACCAGAAAGCCACGGCUAACUACGUGCCAGCAGCCGCGGUAAUACGUAGGUGGCAAGCGUUGUCCGGAGUUAUUGGGCGUAAAGCGCGCGCAGGCGAUCCUUUAAGUAUGAUAUGAAAGCCCACGGCUCAACCGUGGAGGGUCAUUGGAAACUGGAGGACUUGAGUACAGAAGAGGAAAGUGGAAUUCCACGUGUAGCGGUGAAAUGCGUAGAGAUGUGGAGGAACACCAGUGGCGAAGGCGGCUUUCUGGUCUGUAACUGACGCUGAGGCGCGAAAGCGUGCGGAGCAAACA